rnacentral:rRNA from 1 species
CCAGACUCCUACGGGAGGCAGCAGUAGGGAAUCUUCGGCAAUGGACGGAAGUCUGACCGAGCAACGCCGCGUGAGUGAAGAAGGUUUUCGGAUCGUAAAGCUCUGUUGUAAGAGAAGAAUGAGUGUGAGAGUGGAAAGUUCACACUGUGACGGUAUCUUACCAGAAAGGGACGGCUAACUACGUGCCAGCAGCCGCGGUAAUACGUAGGUCCCGAGCGUUGUCCGGAUUUAUUGGGCGUAAAGCGAGCGCAGGCGGUUAGAUAAGUCUGAAGUUAAAGGCUGUGGCUUAACCAUAGUACGCUUUGGAAACUGUUUAACUUGAGUGCAAGAGGGGAGAGUGGAAUUCCAUGUGUAGCGGUGAAAUGCGUAGAUAUAUGGAGGAACACCGGUGGCGAAAGCGGCUCUCUGGCUUGUAACUGACGCUGAGGCUCGAAAGCGUGGGGAGCAAACAGGAUUAGAUACCCUGGUAGUCCACGCCGUAAACGAUGAGUGCUAGGUGUUAGACCCUUUCCGGGGUUUAGUGCCGCAGCUAACGCAUUAAGCACUCCGCCUGGGGAGUACGACCGCAAGGUUGAAACUCAAAGGAAUUGACGGGGGCCCGCACAAG